rnacentral:rRNA from 1 species
GAUGAACGCUGGCGGCGUGCCUAAUACAUGCAAGUCGAGCGAACAGACGAGGCGCUCUCCCCUCUGCAGUUACCGGCGGACGGGUGAGUAAUACGUGGCUAACCUACCUAUAAGACUGGGAUAACUACGGGAGACCGGAUAUCAUAUCGGACAAUAUAUAGAACGUCGGGGAUCAUUAGACCAAGAAGGUUUUGCUGACACUUAUAGGUAGAACCUCGUCGGAUUAGCUAGUUGGUAAGGUAACGGCUUACCAAGGCAACGCUGCGUAGCUGAUCUGAGAGGGUGAUCAGCCACACUGGAACUGAGACACGGUCCAGACUCCUACGGGAGGCAGCAGUAGGGAAUCUUGGACAAUGGGCGAAAGCCUGACCCAGCCAUGCCGCGUGAGUGAAGAAGGUCUUCGGAUCGUAAAGCACUUUUAGUUGGGAAGAAGAAAAGUAAAAUAAAACCUUGCUGUUUUGACGGUACCAAAUCAGAAAGCACCGGCUAACUACGUG